rnacentral:rRNA from 1 species
CCUACGGGAGGCAGCAGUGAGGAAUAUUGGUCAAUGGGCGCGAGCCUGAACCAGCCAAGCAGCGUGAAGGAUGACUGCCCUACGGGUUGUAAACUUCUUUUAUAAAGGAAUAAAGUGAGGCACGUGUGUCUUCUUGUAUGUAUCUUAUGAAUAAGGAUCGGCUAACUCCGUGCCAGCAGCCGCGGUAAUAUGGUGGAUCCGAGCGUUAUCCGGAUUUGUUGGGUUGAAAGGGAGCGUGGAUGGGUUGUUAAGCUAGUUGUGAAAGUUUGGGGGUCAACCGUAAAAUUGCAAGUGAUACUGGCGGUCUAGAGAACAGUUGAGGUAGGCGGAAUUCGAGGUGUAGCGGUGAAAUGCUUAGAGAUCACGAAGAACACCGAUUGCGAAGGCAGCUUACUAAACUGCCACUGACGUUGAUGCACGAAAGUGUGGGUAUCAAACAGGAUUAGAUACCCCAGUAGUC